CUCAGGGCUGGACACGUGUGGCGAAUUGGAGAAUGAUUUCUCCAGUUCCUGCACUCAGACAUGAAGUACUUCUUUGUGCCUUUUGCAGAAGAGGCCCCAGAAGAAGGGGUGGGGCAGAGGCAAAGGGGGACGAUGAAGACAGGACAAGCCUCGAGCUGAGAUCUUCAUCGUUCAGAUGGAGACGCCUCCAGAGGGUUCUGGUUGCCCUCGGUGGGUGCUCUCAUCUCCUCCCUGGCCUCCGCGGCCUCCCCCUGCUCCUUUCAGGAUGCUGCCUCCCCUCUCCCUCGGAAGGUAGGGACCAGGCCCUUGGGUGAGGGGCACCGGGGAGCUUGAGUGAUGGAGCGGCUGGGAGGGGCUGCCAUCCCAUGUCAAGCUUGCAGUGGAAUCGGGUUCAUUUUUAAAGUCAAAACCCCUCGUGGGGCUCCCUCACCCGCCCCCAGAGCCCCUCUAUUAUCCUUAGGCCAUUUGGUAGUUGUUGCUAUGGAGACCACAAGCAAAAUGGCAUGCAAAUCAACACAAGCAAUAACAGCGGAAAGGGCAGGGGGAGGCUGGGAGGGCGGGUGGGGGGGGUGUGGGGGAGGGCGCGGAAAUGCUUCCACCUGCAGUGCUCAUUAGGGUCUCAAGUGCAAAAAAGGCUCGGAAGGUCUGGGCAGGGGUCAAGGAGGUUCCAAUCCAAACUCUAGAGAGAGAGGGAAGACACUGAGAAUACAAAGCCUCUGUGGCAGGUGGCAGAUGGGGGCCGGUUACCCCCCACCCAGCACUGACAGGGGCGCACGAGGUGGCUUUGGGGGAAGCCCCCCGCCCCCCCACCCCGCGCAGAGUUUAGGCUUGGCUAGGGGAGAGGCUAGUGGGACUUGUCCCAAGGAACACUCCAGCAGACAAUGAGAACGUGGGUGGUGUGGAGCUGCUGGCUGGGGGCAGGUGCCCAAGGAGACAGCACAGAGCAGGUGCAAAGGGCUGGGUCCCUGGGGGCAGAGGAGCCAGGGCUCUGCCAGCUAGGGCCCAUGGAGCAGGGCAGGUGACACGGACUUGCAGGUGAGCGAGGAGAGGGACUGUGAUGGAUCGCUAGCUUGCAGCCACUUCGAGCAGCCGUAGGAACCCAGGUCCCCGGGGCUCGGCCAGGCCCCUCCAUUCCCUCCCCUUGGGAACAGUCUGCCUCUUCUGCAUGUGUCCGGCUGGGCAAAGGGGCAGCCGAAAAGCUUGGUUUUUGAGAGGAAAACCCGCAGCCCCCAAGCAUAUAAAUGCACGCAACGGAGGCUUCUUGAUUGAAACCAAGACCGACUCCAUGGAAUGGAGAACUUGGGGAGCUUCUCCCUUGUUCCUAGAGGUUUCCCAAUCAAGGCAGAUCAAAGCCACCGCAGAUGUGCUCCCAUGGGCUCCAUGAAGGCCGUGCCCAGGACGCCUAGCUCGGAAGCCCAAGAAAGGAAAGGUAAGCCCUUCACACUCCUGCUCGGGGCACAGCCCUAUCGCUCUUGCACCAGGUGAGUCAAAGGGAGAUUAGCGAUCAGCCCGGGGGCGGCUACCUGAACUUGAACCUGAGUGGCCAGGCGUUCUACAUGGAGCACGAGGUCUACAGGAGUUUCGGGAACCUGGGUGGGAAAGGGCCUGCCCAUCCCAUUCUGCCCGGGUGGGGCCUUCUCCACCAGCGCCCCCUCCCCACCCAGAAUUCUGCGUCUCACCAGGGUCUGCAUUCCCAGGGCCCUUUGCUUGCUCAAGCCUUUUACUUGAGCUAAAAGGAUGUGGGGGUUCCUGGGGCCGGCCUCUGUGCUCAUGCUGCCCCAGGGACCCCGAUUCCCCCUGGGAUCUUAUCUCCCCUCCAAGUAAGUGGAGUAUUCAGGGCAGGAUGAGGCCAGGUGCCCACCUCCCUCAGCAGGGGAUGAAGGGACCAGCCCUCCCUCCCUGCCCAGGACAGCCAGGGGGUGGGCGUGUCCCAGCUCGGCCAAUCAGACAAUCUCCUGGGACUUUGGCUCCUGAGCAGGGGAUUCCAGGCCGGCAGGAAUUGGGCAGAGCUGCCCAGUGUGAGCUCACAGCUGCAGCUCCUGCUGCCAACACCCCCAAUUGUGUGGGCACCUCCCCCUCCCGCCCCCAGCCUCCCAAUAAAUCUCUUCUGCUUCCCGUGACCGGUGACCGGAGGAGUUUUCUGUAACCGCGGAAGAAUUGCCUCUCAGGCCCUCACUUAGAGCUGUUGUGUCCCGGGAUGGGAGGCUCCCUGUGACACCACCUGUGGCCCUUGGCACCUGGUGUACCUUCCCUGCGAAGGUGCAGAGAGAAUACCAGAAGGACUGGGGCGGGUGAGGGGAGUGAGAGGUCUGGGGCCGCAGGGACCUGCCACCAUCAGGCUCAAGUGAGCUGUUGCCCUGACGCUGUGGGCUUCACGGAGGGAGCGGCUUACUCCUCAAAGUCUGCUGAGCAGACAGGGGCUCGGGUAUCGCCGAGUGGCUUCGCCUUGCCCUGGGCCACCUGGGACCUGCCCCACUCAGUUUACGAAGCUCCUCUCCUUCCCCCAGGGGUCUCGGCUCCCGUGCUGACGCUGGUGUUCCUGCUGGUUUCUGAGCGUGUAGUUGAGUUAGGCAGGUCCCACCUACACACACAGGUGCGUGCAGCUGCGGGAAUGGGGGGAGGCGGCUGGAAAGCGUCCAGCUCACGGCAGGAAGGCAGUGGGAUCGUCACUGUGAGGACAAGGGAGGUGGAGAGAAGGAAUUUCUUCCCCGUCAGCCAAAAAAGGUCUUAGAGAGCACCUCUGCUCCAAAUGGCUUUUUAAAAAAAUUUUUAAUGGUUAUUUAUUUUUAAGAGAGUGAGAGAGAGACGGAAUGUGAGCGGGGAGGGGGCGGAGAGAGAGGGAGACACAGAAUCCGAAGCAGGCUCCAGGCUCCAAGCCAUCGGCACAGGGCCCGACACGGGGUUCGAACCCACAAACCACAGGAUCACGACCUGAGCAGAUGUUGGACGCUUAACCCACUGAGCCACCCAGGUGCCCCUGCUCCAGAUGGCUAUUUAAAGCCUGUGAUGGACGAAGCCCCUUCACCCCCUUUGCAAAGUUAGGCUUCCCCGAAUGCUGCCCUCUCUCCACCAGCCGCCUCUCCCAGGAACUUGUGUCGUUGAUUUGGGGAUGCCCCUUCCUGCUUCUCUUCCUACCGUCUUUUUCCUACAGAUGCGCAUCUUUCUGUGUCCCUAGACCACUCCAAUCAGCUAAACGAAGGCCAACCACGGACGCUGGCAUCUAGGGCUCUGACUGUCCCGGCUCCCGGGCAGGCGGCAGAGGCACGGGACAGGUCAAGCCACCAGUCGGCAAGGCAGUUACUUUCAGGCGAGAGGUGAAGGUGAACUUGCCCUUGAUGAAGGCUCCAGGAAGCCUUGGGAACCCCGGCUUCUCGGCCAGAUCCACAGGGGAGGACUGUCACUGGGAGGGUGGGGAGAUGAUGGAGGGGCUGGACUGUCCCUUCAGCGUGUCGGUGAUCCGGGACCCCCGGUGGUCCCGACUCAGGUGCACAGGACCUCAUGGCAACCUUGUCAGGGCUGCUUAGAAGGGACCCAGAGCUUGGUGGUCCCCUUCCUUGGGACCCUCGGGUGUUGUGUCCCUCCUGGCUAAGCUUGCUCCACGGAUGGUCAAUAAAGGAGGCGACAGAGGCCAGCAAUGGCUCAUCUGGACGGGAGUCCUCGCAGGGGUGAGGAGGCUGUGCGGUGCAGUGGUUAAAGCUCGGUCAGAGACCAAACGGCUGCCAGAACCCUGGCCCACAACAUCCUGGCCGUGGGACCCGGGAUAAGCGAUUCAAAUGCCUGGACCUCAGAUUUGCCCGCCUGACUGUUCACGAGCAGCGGUUGGUAUUCACUCUGUUGUCAGCUGCUUGGGCGUCUGGGAACCCCCUCCAAGUGGGACCGGGGCUCCCUAACACCGAACGGCGUUCAGCAGCCCUGUGGGCCAAGCGACUC
rnacentral:lncRNA from 1 species